AUAAAUAUAAAAAUGAUAAAUUAACUCUUGACGUUUUAAGUUAUAGUAGCAAAUCUCAGUCAUAUGAUUAAAUAUUCAUACUUCAAAAUGCAUCAAAUUUUGUUAUUUAUAUGAGUAAAAAGUUAUACAUAAUUAUCUUGUGAGAUAAUUUGACUCCUUGAAAAAUCCUAUCAAGUAGUUAAUAUAUUUUGUAUAUUCAUGUUUUAUAAUUCAUAAUUCGAAUUGACAUCAAUCUAACCUAUCAUACAUAGUCAAAAUAUCUUAAUGUUGGGCCCGUGCUGACACGACAUGCCCUUCUAGUCUUUAAUCAUAAAGUAAGGCAUUUAGGGCCCUGGACAGUGUUUCUGAAGCAAGAAUGAAUAAAGCGGGGAAUAAAGAAUCUCCUUGCUUAACACCUCUACUGGAAUGAAAGGAUCCAUGAGAUUGGUCAUUAAUUAGUAUAGAAUACCAAUUAUUAGUAAGCAACCUCCAGAUUAAGUCAAUAAAAAUCUCUAAAAAUCUCAUUUUUCCAUAAUACUUUAGUUAAAUAUAAUCAAGACACCCUGUCAUAUGCCACUGUCAUAUCUAACUUUAGUAUUACAUUUACUGAUUUUCCUCUCUUUUUAAUGCUAGUCACAAUUUCUUGGGUCAAGAGCGCAAUCUUAAUGAUGCACCUUCCCUUGACAAAUCUUGAUUGAUUUGAUGAGAUUAUUGACAAAAGUAGAAAAUUCAUCUUCUUUGUACCACCUUGGAGAUAACUUUAUUAAUAAAGUUACAUAGACUAAUAAGUCUAAGAUCAGCAAAAGUUUGAACCACAUUAUUCUUUAGAAUAAGAACCACAUUUGUAUGAGUAAAGGACUUAGUCAAUGAGUCACCUGCAAAGUAAGCUUUUACUACACUGAGAACAUCUUCUUUUAUAAUUUCCCAAAAAUAUUGAUAAAAUUUCCCAUUUAAACCAUCUGGUCCACCAGAACUAGCCCCUUCCAAUGAAAAAACUGUUGCUUUGACCUCCUCAAUUAUGGAUGUUGAACACAACAUUAUAUUUUCCUCCCCAGUCAUAUUUAGAGAUAUUCUGUUAAGGAUUUCAAAAUUGGUAAUUUAAUCUUCUUGAGUUAAUUGUUUCUCAAACACCUUAAUGGCUUCGUCUUUAAUUUGCUUCAUUUCUUCAAUCCAAACCCCAUCAGCAUUCUGGAUCCUUCUAACUUGAAAUCUUCUUCUUCUAUCAUUAACCAAAUUAUGAAAAUAAAAAGUGUUUCUGUCCCUCAUCUACCUGCUAGGUUACUCUAGCUUUUUUUUAGUAUUCUUCCUCCAGAUGCAAAUAUUUCUUCAAUUCUGCUUUGAGCCAUCCACAACACCAUUUCUAAGGAGUAGGAUCUUCUUCAAAUAAUUGUUUCACAAUCUCCUCCCUAAUUAUGAAUUGCUUGAAGAUGUCCUAAUAAGUAUAUCUACUCCAUUUGGUCAAGGCUUUCUUAAUUUUAUUUUUUUCUCUUUGAACAUUAAAAAAAGAUGCCCUACACAAACAGCUUUCCAGUAUUGCUCCACAAUCUGUAAAGAAUUUGAAUGUUCAGUCCAUAAACUUAGGAAUUUGAAGGGCUUCCUAAUUAAUUGGGACUGAUUUUUCAUUGUAAGAAAGAGAGGGGCAUGAUCUGAUCUUGUCCUUGCUAAGUGUUUAAAUUGUGUACUUAAUUUGAAUAUAUAAUUAUGAUGAUAUUAAUAAGUUUUUUAAAAAAAAAAGUUUAAGAUAAACGAAUUCUUUCAAAAUCAAAAAGAUCUUACUAAACUAGUACUAUGUAAUUAAGGCACUGUGGUGAAAAUCGCAUCUUAUUAUUUUAUAGAGAAAAAAGAAUUACAUCAAACUAAUGAUGUCAUAACUAUAGAUCAGAAAAUCAAUUAGAUUACUUUUUAUUUUUUAUCAUUAUAGAUUUCGACAAAAUUAAUAACAAUGAAAAUUUAGCAACAAUACACAUUAUCGUGUCAUUAGAUUAUAUUUAUUAUGCAGUUAAAAUAUGAUACAAAUUAAUUUUUUUAGUUAAAAUGUUAUUAUUUUUAUAUUUAAAGUUAAGCACAUACCACGUCUAACUAGUAGUAAUAUUAUAUAGAUAUAGAAGGGGGAGUUUUGGAACAACCAAUGACAAAUUUGUUAUUAAGCUCAAAUGAGCAAAUAUUAAAUAUCAAUAAAAUAUCCACUGCCUUCAAGAUAAUUCUGGAAACCUACGUUUCCCCUUCUGCAUUUGAAGUGUUCAUUGAGAGCUUUUGCAUUCUCCUUGCAAUUUAAAGUCAGUGAUUGUCUUAAAUUUUUCAUGUAUAAAUAUUAAAUAUCAAUAAAAUAUCUACUGCCUUCAAGAUAGUUCUGGAAACCUUGUUUCCCCUUCAGCCUCUGAAGUGUUCAUUGAGAGCUUUUGUCUUCUCCCUCCAAUUUAAGGCUUCUUUGUUUGGGCUCCUCUUACUCCAUCAGCCAUCAGACUUUUUGGCUGCUCUCAGUUAAAUUAUUUGCCAACAGUUGUCAUUUCGCUGGCAUUGUCCAUCGAGAUAAGUCUGUGGUAAUGGAUGUAGAGUAAACAUCUUAUUUUACUUACUUGAAACUAGCCAAUAUUUCUGUUACUUUUGUCUCAGUAAAGUUGCACUACUAUUAAGUAAAAUAACCGUUCUGAUCUUAAACUGUUUGGGCAUCUUGUUGUCAUAUAUAACUGCAAAUGGGAGUUGGUACAUUGGAUGUCUCAUCCACUAAAUUCGGAUAGCUGGUAUUGAGAAUUAGGCCCAGCAGUAUAACCUACCAAAAAAAAAAUUAGUGUGAUAGUUCACUCAACAAUGGUUAUUUCAGUCUGUCCUUUACAGGUACCAGCUAUUUUUAAUUCUCUUUUCUUGAAUCUUUGCUACAGAUUGUUGUAGAUUUUUAUGUGCCAAUAUUAUUAUAGUUAUAUAUGUUUAUAUAUUACUCCCUCCAUUUCAAAAAGAACGACGUACUUUGACUUGGCACAAAGUUUAAGAAAAUAAAGAAGAUUUUUGAAUCUUGUGGCCUUAAAUUAAAAUUGUGUCAAAUGUACCAAAAUUUUCUUUAGUCUUGUAGUCCUAAAUAUGCUAUGUGGAAAGUUGAAAUUAAAGUAUUGCCAAAAAUGGAAAGAGGUCAUUCUUUUUUAAAUGGACUAAAAGGGAAAGUAGGUCAUUCUUGGUAUUACUUUCUAUGUCAACGAGCUUAGCUGCAUGUGUUUAUGCAAAAAAUAAAAAAUGAAAUUUGUUUGUGUGCGUAUGAGAAGAAGUUUAGUUCCUUACCAUAAUAGAAUUGACAACUAAUUUUAGGACCUUUCUAAUUCACAGAUAUGAAAAGAUCUUACACAAGUAAAUAAAGAAAAACUAGGAUAUCACAGUAACUCUAGCAUUACUAAAUCUAAAAGAGCUAAGAAGGAUAUUGGGAAAUAUAUCUCCUUUAGUAGUAAUGGAGAAAGCUACUUCUGUUGGCACUAUCAUGACAACAUGUUUUACAGUUACUAUGAACCUUACAAAUGGUUCUGGCCCGCUUUAGCACAUCUCAACUAAAUUCACACGAUACAAACAUUCUGUUACUUUUUUCUCUUGAGAUGGUCCUCCUCAAUGGUUCAGGAGGCGACAUAUUCACACUGUUAUGGUCUUUCAAAAAUUGGUUAACAAAGAAAAAAAUUAAUGUUUUAAGUUCUUUAGUACUUCAAAAAAUGAAUACAAAUUAAAAUAGCAACACGGUGAUGAAAUGAAUGAUUAAUAAAUUUUACCUUAAUAAUUUUUUUUAAGUAAUCAUUCUCCAUGAGAAGCUCCAAAUGUUAAACUUCAAAUAUGCUUCAUGGGUCUUAUAAACAUAUAUAAAUGUCGAUAUAAGACAAAAACAAAAAAAAAAUGAAGGAUCAAAUGAUAGAAUUUUUGAGAUAGUCAAAAGUCAUAAAAUUAAUAAAAAGAAACAUCUUUCUAGCUUACCAAUCUCAUCUCAUGUGUUCUAGCUGCACCCUCCUUAUUUCUAAAUUUUUGUUUUGUCAUUUUGAGAAGCCUUUGAUCUUCACUCAUGACAACUCCUCUAUAUUUCUUUUUCUGCCUCUUCCUACGAGUCUUUUAGUCAUAAUAGAAGUACCUUAUAACAGGGUCUUAGGAAUUAUUUGCUAUGUUAACAACAUUGUUAUAACAUUCAAAAGCAUGAUUAUAAGAUGGAUGUGCAUUGCUACUUGUAUAUUGUGAGGCCAUUUCUUCGAUCAUUUUUUCAGUCUCAUCUACAUCUUUUCCCAAUUAAUCGAUAUUGUCAUUAAGAUCUAUUAAUGUUUUUGUUAUUGGAGUAAAUUUUGUUCUUUAUAUUUUCUUUCGAUUUUAUGCAGACUUUUUAUCGCAUUUCAUCCCACUCAGAUGUUUCUCGCUGUUGCCAUUGGAAGCCAUAUAAUCGCUUCUGUUUAUUGGAUUUCACAAAAAAAAUCAAUGGGAAGACUUGGUUAAUUGCUGCUUUAGCUUUAGUUUUGUUCAGAUUCAGGUAACAUUUCGUUUUUCUCUUUGGUGGGAUUUUGUUUUUAUGAGUUACAAAGUUCCUUUCUCCACACCUGAUACAAGCCAAAUGGCCAUCUAUGCUUUUGAAGACAUCAUUGGAGGUCAAUGAAUAAAGACUCAAGACUUGGUUACCUCGAGGACACAAGAACAUGCAUGGAGGACCUAUUUUGAGCAUGACAUAAAGCAAAUCCAUGUGUGGAAGAUUGCGUGGGGGCUUACCUUUGAUGCCAACCCAAGUCCACAAGUGUUGAAGGAUGACCCCUUGGUUUUGGAGCAUUGAAGAAGCACCCUUCAUUAAGGGUAUUUUGGGGAUUACACUUGUUGGAAAGACACUCCAUGACCACCCCUUUCAUUAAGGGUAUUUUGGUCAUUUUGCUAUGUAAUAAGCUAGCCUAUAAAUAGUCUUCUAUUAGAUCAUUUGCUCUUUAGGUGAUUAUGGAUAUUUGAGAGUCAUUGAAAGAUUUUUUCUUCUCUGAGAGUGUAGUGUAGGGUUUGGAAAAGUCAUUAUUGAUCUUUGCUUAGAAACGGUGGUUAUAAGGCGGAGUUGAUUCCCUUAGCGGUCACCAUAAGAGUUUGGUGUUGUUAUUGCGGGUCUUAGGGGUCUUAUCAUUUGAUACACGGUUUGGUUCCUUUUUCUUGUAAUCUCGUAUGUCAAGCUAUUUAUCUUACUUUAUUGCAUUUAUUUGUUAUUUUGUU